rnacentral:snRNA from 1 species
GGAUGUAAGGGCGAUCUGGCUGUGACAUCUGUCACCCCGUUGAUCGCCAGGAUUGAUUUGGCUGAUCUGGCUGGCUAGGUGGGUGUCCCCUUCCUCGCUCAACACUCCAUGUGCAUCCCUCCUGAGCUGCGCGCUCCAAGAGGAGGGAAAAAAAAGAUCAAGAGCCAGGUGAGGGGUAGUGAUGACUGUGUCCAGUGGACGGGGUCUUUAGCACACUCUGCUCCUCCCUCCCUGUCCCCAGAAUCUGUGCCCCUACCCUCCUCUGUGUUCAGAGGGGAAGGGAAGGAGGUCCUCUGAGAUAGGGCUCAGGGGGUACUGUGUGAGGUACUGGCAGGAGGCCAGUGCCAAGCCCC